ensembl:snoRNA SNORA9 small nucleolar RNA, H/ACA box 9
CUGCAAGCCUCCAGCGUGCAUGGAUCUGUGGUGAUCCUGUGCAUUCCUACAGUGCUUGCAAGAACAAUUCGAAACGGUUUGAGGCCUUGCCCUGCCGCAUCCAGAGCAAGGUUAUAGAAAUUUCGGACAGUU